GUCACUUUGGCAGCACACGUACUAAAACUGGAACAAUACAGAGACAAUUAGCAUGGCCUCUGUGCAAGGAUGACAUGCAAACUCAUGAAGCAUUACAGAUUUUU